rnacentral:lncRNA from 13 species
UUCAGCAAUACAUAAAUCUCUCUCUUUCUCUCUCUCUCUCUGUCUGUCUUUUUUUUAGUGAGCUCUUAUCACCAUAUAUUACUUAAAGAAAUUUCCAUCUUCCCUUCCUUUAAUUUCCCUCCUCUUCCUUUCCUUUUAGAUAAAAAGAACUUUGGGAGUUCCAAGGCUGGGGCCAAGAAAGCAGGUCUGGGCCCUGAGAAGGCAUCCAGAGCUGGUGGAACCUUUGGAGUCGGGAUAAAGAAGAAGAGAAACAGAAGAUCAAACUUGAAGUAACAGCAAGUAGGUGGCAGAGUGAAGAGCAGAUCCAGAGGCCUCUCUAAACUCCUGGUCAGCACGCUUUCAACACCAACACACACCACAAUAGAACGGACUACAAACUUCUUGGAAACUAUUUAAAUCACAAAGAUAAUGACUUUUGUCUUGAACCAUUUGUUGUCUGUCACAGGAGACAUGAGCAUUGAAAGCUUCAGAAGCUGGAACCCAGAUUUCUGGCUCUUGGUGGAAGAAACCCAGUUAGUGUCCUUCACAGCUGUGACUGGCAUAUGGAAGAAACCUGGAAGGAAGACAUGUCUCUUCUCUGAUAACAUGCCCCAAAGACUAAUUUCUAAAGAACCAACUCCAAUUGUUGCCUUCCUUCCUGCUACUAAAGAAAUUCCCUAGGUUUUAAGAAUUUCUUCUCCCUAAAGUUCUCAUUUUUUAUUUCUUUCAUACCGCUUGACCAGAAAUUAUUACCACAUGCAUUUUACAUUUUCUGAAAUGAUCAUUUUCUUUGCCCUGAUGAGAAAGGUCUUCCCAGUAUCUAAAAAUUACCUGUGAUUCUUAAGCUUAUUUUUCUAAACAAUUUUCUCUAUAUAAAACUCUCCUAUAAAUUUUAGUGAUUGGUUGUGGAUAUAGAUUGGUAAAUGAAAGUCGGGAGUAAUUAACCCCUACACAGCCCAAAUUUUUUUGAUGGAAAUGUCUUUAUGCUUUCUG